rnacentral:rRNA from 1 species
ACUGGGGGAUAGCCCGCCGAAAGGCGGAUUAAUACCGCAUAAACCAACAGUGUGGCAUCGCAUAAUUGGUAAAGAUUUAUUGGUUCAGGAUGGGGUUGCGUAGCAUUAGCUAGUUGGCGGGGUAACGGCCCACCAAGGCGACGAUGCUUAGGGGACCUGAGAGGGUGAUCCCCCACACUGGCACUGAGAUACGGGCCAGACUCCUACGGGAGGCAGCAGUAGGGAAUAUUGGGCAAUGGACGAGAGUCUGAGCCAGCCAUGCCGCGUGCCGGAUGAAGGCCUUCUGGGUUGUAAACGGCUUUUCUCAGGGAAGAAAAAGACCAUGCGUGGGACACUGACGGUACCUGAGGAAUAAGCACCGGCUAACUCCGUGCCAGCAGCCGGGGUAAUACGGAGGGUGCAAGCGUUGUCCGGAUUUAUUG